rfam:Salmonella enterica subsp. enterica serovar Newport str. S09097 S_Newport_S09097_mira454_c17, whole genome shotgun sequence.
UUGACGCUGCCUUUUUUUCGACCUAAAGUAAAGGAAUAAGGGUGAGAGGGGAUCUCCUCCCCCCCUCUGAUUGGCUGUUAGUAAGCUGCGAAACUUAUCAGUAACAGAACAAUCAGUAUGAUGACCUGGUGCAUCAUAAACCCUUUCCUUAUU